CAAAGUAUAGCUUAAUAAAAAGCGCCCGGCCUACACCCGGAAGAUCUCAAAUAAACUGAUUACUUUGA
rnacentral:tRNA from 1 species